rnacentral:rRNA from 1 species
UACGUAGGGUGCGAGCGUUGUCCGGAAUUAUUGGGCGUAAAGAGCUCGUAGGCGGUCUGUCGCGUCGAUCGUGAAAACUUGUGGCUUAACCCUGAGCUUGCGGUCGAUACGGGCAUGACUGGAGUUCGGCAGGGGAGACUGGAAUUCCUGGUGUAGCGGUGAAAUGCGCAGAUAUCAGGAGGAACACCGGUGGCGAAGGCGGGUCUCUGGGCCGAUACUGACGCUGAGGAGCGAAAGCGUGGGGAGCGAACAGG